GAUGAACGCUGGCGGCGUGCCUAAUACAUGCAAGUCGAGCGAAUGGAUUAAGAGCUUGCUCUUAUGAAGUUAGCGGCGGACGGUUGAGUAACACGUGGGUAACCUGCCCAUAAGACUGGGAUAACUCCGGGAAACCGGGGCUAAUACCGGAUAAAAUUUGGAACCGAAUGGUUCGAAAUUGAAAGGCGGCUUCGGCUGUCACCUAUGGAUGGACCCGCGUCGCAUUAGCUAGUUGGUGAGGUAACGGCUCACCAAGGCAACGAUGCGUAGCCGACCUGAGAGGGUGAUCGGCCACACUGGGACUGAGACACGGCCCAGACUCCUACGGGAGGCAGCAGUAGGGAAUCUUCCGCAAUGGACGAAAGUCUGACGGAGCAACGCCGCGUGAGUGAUGAAGGCUUUCGGGUCGUAAAACUCUGUUGUUAGGGAAGAACAAGUGCUAGUUGAAUAAGCUGGCACCUUGACGGUACCUAACCAGAAAGCCGCGGCUAACUACGUGCCAGCAGCCGCCGUAA
rnacentral:rRNA from 1 species